rnacentral:rRNA from 1 species
UACGUAGGGUCCGAGCGUUGUCCGGAAUUACUGGGCGUAAAGAGCUCGUAGGUGGUUUGUCGCGUUGUUCGUGAAAACUCACAGCUCAACUGUGGGCGUGCGGGCGAUACGGGCAGACUGGAGUACUGCAGGGGAGACUGGAAUUCCUGGUGUAGCGGUGGAAUGCGCAGAUAUCAGGAGGAACACCGGUGGCGAAGGCGGGUCUCUGGGCAGUAACUGACGCUGAGGAGCGAAAGCCAGGGGAGCAAACGGG